CCCAGGCUGAACAAUUUUAUCUGGGAAGAGAUGUGGCCAACUUUCUAGGGCUGACUUUGAUCCAGUAGAACAUGUCUUUUACAAGCAUUUACUUUACCAACUGGGAGCUCAGUACCCUCCCCUGUGAAAAACACCCAGGCAAGUCCAAGUCCCACAGAGUUGUUGCAACAGAGGGAAAAACAAGUGGGAUUCCAUUCAGCUUGGCUCCUAAAAAGAUCCUUAUUGGUGCUUGUGCCUGUACUACUAAGAGAGUUGUGGAAACCUUGGAAUGUGCCCAGAGUAGAGCAAUGGAAAUGAUUGGGAAAGAGGAUCUAUGAGAAAAGGCUCAAAGAAUUGAUAUGGGUGUAGAAAUAAAAUUGUGUGGAAUUACAGAUAAACUAUUUCAGGAGUAUGAAGUUAAACAAACAAGAGAAGAUGAAGGAGGAAAAGAAGAAGAUGGAGGAGGACAAAGUUUUCAGAAGUGCUUAUUAGAGCUAUUACAUGCCAAAUAUCUACUCUGUGGGAAAAGCAAAUUUCACAUUUUUAUCAACUCUGUAUUCACACAUCUGAUCAAG
rnacentral:lncRNA from 1 species